GACGAACGCUGGCGGCGUGCCUAAUACAUGCAAGUAGAACGCACAGGAUGCACCGUAGUUUACUACACCGUAUUCUGUGAGUUGCGAACGGGUGAGUAACGCGUAGGUAACCUGCCUGGUAGCGGGGGAUAACUAUUGGAAACGAUAGCUAAUACCGCAUAAGAACAUUUACUGCAUGGUAGAUGUUUAAAAGGUGCAAGAGCAUCACUACCAGAUGGACCUGCGUUGUAUUAGCUAGUUGGUGAGGUAACGGCUCACCAAGGCAACGAUACAUAGCCGACCUGAGAGGGUGAUCGGCCACACUGGGACUGAGACACGGCCCAGACUCCUACGGGAGGCAGCAGUAGGGAAUCUUCGGCAAUGGGGGGAACCCUGACCGAGCAACGCCGCGUGAGUGAAGAAGGUUUUCGGACCGUAAAGCUCUGUUGUUAAGGAAGAACGUGUGUGAGAGUGGAAAGUUCACACAGUGACGGUACUUAACCAGAAAGGGACGGCUAACUACGUGCCAGCAGCCGCGGUAAUACGUAGGUCCCGAGCGUUGUCCGGAUUUAUUGGGCGUAAAGCGAGCGCAGGCGGUUAAAUAAGUCUGAAGUGAAAGGCAGUGGCUCAACCAUUGUAGGCUUUGGAAACUGUUUAACUUGAGUGCAGAAGGGGAGAGUGGAAUUCCAUGUGUAGCGGUGAAAUGCGUAGAUAUAUGGAGGAACACCGGUGGCGAAAGCGGCUCUCUGGUCUGUAACUGACGCUGAGGCUCGAAAGCGUGGGGAGCGAACAGG
rnacentral:rRNA from 1 species